rnacentral:ncRNA from 1 species
GGUCAUGAGCUCCGACGCCAAGCCCCGGCUCGUCGGACGGCAACCCUCCCGCGCGGUGGGGUGCCCCGGGUGAGGACCAGGUCCCGCGUCGCGCGGACC